rnacentral:rRNA from 1 species
ACGCUGGCGGCAGGCCUAACACAUGCAAGUCGAGCGGCAGCGGGAAGUAGUUUACUACUUUGCCGGCGAGCGGCGGACGGGUGAGUAAUGUCUGGGGAUCUGCCUGAUGGAGGGGGAUAACUACUGGAAACGGUAGCUAAUACCGCAUGACCUCGCAAGAGCAAAGUGGGGGACCUUAGGGCCUCACGCCAUCGGAUGAACCCAGAUGGGAUUAGCUAGUAGGUGGGGUAAUGGCUCACCUAGGCGACGAUCCCUAGCUGGUCUGAGAGGAUGACCAGCCACACUGGAACUGAGACACGGUCCAGACUCCUACGGGAGGCAGCAGUGGGGAAUAUUGCACAAUGGGCGCAAGCCUGAU